UCCUCACUACUUUACUGUAGCCAUCUGGCCUUGCCCCAUCACAGCAGUUAAAGUAUUUGGUCAAGUAUGAAGUCAGGCUUUCAUUUGAACAAUGUCGCUUCUAGUCUUUCCUGUCUAGACAGUCUUCAGAAGGGGAAAAAAAUCCCUGUCUGACAGUCUUUUCGAUGGUACUAAAGCCAUAAUUGUCCUUUUUGGGGGAAAGAGAAGAAGUCAGCUGAGAUAUUCUGGAGCGACUGCUGCAGUUAUUCAAGUCUACUGCUGUUUCCUUGACAAAAGAAGAAAACAAACCAAGAAAAACCACAGAGGACAGAAAAGAACAGCAAAGAGAAAAUGCAGUGUCUGCCUCUGUAACCGCUUAUAUGCAGCCUCACUGCUGGAGGAGCACAGGCUUAGCACGUCUGAUCAGCCACUCCUGCCCCAGCAAACGUACCCUGCCUCAGCGGAGAAGGGUGAAUGAAGCACGGGUGCGAAGAGAGAAUUCAGGAUUCCUGACUCCCUGCCUAGUGGUGGCUGGGCCACCCAUGGGAACACCUGGGGCAGCUCCUGCUCAGGUCCCGGUGACGUUCGAUGACGCUGCGGUCUAUUUCUCUUAGGAGGAAUGGGCUCUCUUAGAGCAGGGGCAGAAGGCGCUGUGUCAGGACAUGAUGGAGGAGAAUUACGGUCUCCUGACCUCGCUGGGUAAAGCUCAACCCUCCUCCUUUUCCUGGGUAUUGUGUGCGCUCUGAGAUGCCCAGGGCCUCUUCUAGAUGCCGGGACACCACUGAGGAUCAGCAGCAGCAGAAAGGAGCAAAUCACUGAUUUCAUGAGGGGAAAGGGGUUACUGCGAUCCAGGCACAGUAUUGCCCUAAGGCAAGUGAUUGGAGAGACGUCCAGGCUGCUCACGUAUUGGCUGAGAAAUAAGGCUUUGCAGGGAUCAAACUGAACAUUUUAUCCCAAAUGGAGCAGGUGGGAGCACCAUGGGCCAAGGAUCAGCAGGACUCGCUGGAAGAAGAAAGCUCAGAAAUCCCCUCCUUCGCACAGGGCUGCCCGGGCCAGGAGAGAGGUGUGUGUGAGAAGAGCUACAAGGAGAAGAUCCACCUGAAGCGUCAUGAGACCCUCCACUUCCGGAGGAAGCCGUUCAAGUGCAGGAAGUGCUUCCUGCAGACGUGGGAGCUGACGAUGCACCAGAGGACCCACACAGCUCCUGGGAUCCCCAGUCACAGACCCCAUUGUGCCAGGAGCUGUGCAGACGCAGAACAAAAAGACCCGCAGAGCUGAUGAGCAACAGGUAUUCUCCUAAGGCGUUUAGCUGGCCCCCAUCCCUGUCUUAUUGGAGCACCUCACAACUAACAAUGUUUAUCCUCACAGCGCCCCCAUGAGGCUGGGAAGUGCUAUUGUCCCCAGUCUGCAGAUCUGAGGGCACAGAGAGGGUCGGUGACUUGCCCAAUGCCACCCGUGAAAUUUAUGCCUGAUUAGGGACCUGAACAUGGGUCUCUCGAAUCACACCCGGCCCACUGGGCCAUCCUGCCCCUUACGGAGAGCUCACAAGCACUUCUGUAGAAGAUGUUAUAGUUGGUUAUGAGCAACUUGUUGACCUGUUGGAUUCUUUUAACAAUUGAUGACCCAUUUUUUCAAACCUUUUAAUCAUUUAUUAAUACAUUUUAUAAACUGUUGGUAAAUGGAACUUCAGUAUAAAGCAUAAGCAACUUUCUCAUAAUUGUGUACUGUAGCCUAUAGGACUAACCUGCUUGCUUGUGUGUAUCUAUCUAUCUAUCUUUUCUUAUAGUUUAAGUAUUUGGGUUUAUUGUAAUAGGUUUAUAGAUUUAUAUUAAAGUAAGUUUGGUUGUAAUGCAAGAGACCGACAGGCCAUAGCCUGUAUGUUAAGCUAAGGCAAAGUUAGUAUACCUAUAUUAAGACCUUUUACUCAGAAAGCAAAGUUGACCUAUAUCUUGUUACCUAAAUAGAUGAGUACCCAUGCCUAUGUCCAUGACCUUUUAUGUAGACCAAUAGACAAUGGAGAAUGGCAUAGAGGAGUUUUCAAUGUUAUACCCACAGACUUAACAAGUCCAUCACAAAAGACUGAUGUGCGUACAUACCUGUCAUCAAUACGCACAUACAUAUUAGCCUAUGGGGUAAGUGUACCCUAACAUUUCUAUGGGUGAGGAAUGAAAUUUGGGCAUAAGAGGAAGGAUUUCCGGCAUUUGCCCUAUAAAAGAGGUGACCCACCUCGAUAGAGUACUCCAUCUCCAUUCUCACUUUACUCCAUCUCCAUUCUCACUUACUUCCUCCACUCUAUUCUAUCUAUCUACGAUGGCUACUACUAUCAGUAGGCUGUACUUGGUCUUCUUAAACUUUAAGUUGAAAGGGAACUAGGCUAAGCUUGGUUUCCCUAAGUUUUACUCAAUUUAUUCAGUUUUGAUUUUAAGUUUAAAUUAGUCAAGUAAACCCUAAGUUCGCUUUAGUAGCUCGUGGAAUUAGUUUCUUCUAAGCACUGCAUCCCUCACUCGAGAAUUGUGAAACCUGAACUGCAAAGCUGUU